GAAAUUAUAGUCAAAUAUGAUUCCUGUCUUGCACACAGGGGGUGCUCCUAAGAGCUAAUUUUA
rnacentral:tRNA from 1 species